rnacentral:rRNA from 1 species
UGGGCAAUAUUGCACAAUGGAGGGAACUCUGAUGCAGCGACGCCGCGUGAACGAAGAAGGCUUUCGAGUCGUAAAGUUCUUUUAUAUGGGAAGAUAAUGACGGUACCAUAAGAAAAAGCCCCGGCUAACUACGUGCCAGCAGCCGCGGUAAUACGUAGGGGGCUAGCGUUGUCCGGAAUCACUGGGCGUAAAGGGUUCGCAGGCGGAAAUGCAAGUCAGGUGUAAAAGGCAGUAGCUUAACUACUGUAAGCAUUUGAAACUGCAUAUCUUGAGAAGAGUAGAGGUAAGUGGAAUUUUUAGUGUAGCGGUGAAAUGCGUAGAUAUUAAAAAGAAUACCGGUGGCGAAGGCGACUUACUGGGCUCAUUCUGACGCUGAGGAACGAAAGCGUGGGUAGCAAACAGG